AUGGCAAAUAGUAUUUUAUUAAUAACAUUGAUUUCCCUUAACCCUGUCACAGUUCAAUAUGAUUCUUUCCCCUGUCUUCUCCUAGCAGCAAGCUGGGGUUGUUGGCAUUGCCUUUCCCACCUGACGGAGGAACCGUUGCUAGAAGUCAUUAUGUCCAUGUCAGGCAGAUGUCAUGUACAUGGGACUUCGCGUUUUACAACGGAUUUUCCCCCCAGCUCUAGACGUGGUUGCCAACAGGUGCUGAAAACAAGCUGACUCCAAUGUCACUGCUUUCUGCAGCCACGGGAAGUAUGACAAGGGAUUGGUUCCUGUGUGGGUCUGCUUGACACCUGUUUGGUCAUCCUCCGCCUCCACAUCUGCACAAAGCUUCCAGGUUUCCAGGGAGGCAGUUCCUCUUCACGUGCUCUCCAUUGCCUCUCUCUCCCUGUGCUCAAGGUCUCCAUCAGGGACCCCAGAAGAACUCUUAGAAUUGCCCUCCAGCACCAUCUCCCUCGAGGGGCACUCUGCUGGAGCAGGCAUGAACUGCUAAAAUCUUCCAGCAAUGUUUAGGCCCUCGCGUCUUCAGGAUGGCCCAGUGGCUUCCUCAUGGAUCUUUCCUGCCAGGACCCGACGGUCUGCUGUGUUAUUUCUCAAUUGCAUGUGCAAAGAUAUUUCCCCUUCCUUCUGACAUUUCAUAAAUGCCAUUUGAUAUGUUAACUGACAUUGUCAUUUUCGCUAAAGCAAUUUGCAAAAGGUGUGCUUCUUUUCAGUUCCUGCUUCCUCCAGGGAUUAUUACUUACCCAUUGGAAGGUUUUCUCUUCUCACAUGAAGGCUGCUGUCUGUAACACAACAUAAAUAAGAAGAGAGAUGCUUUGAGGUUUUUAAAAGGAUUUCUGUAGAAUAGAAUACAGACAUGUACUGAUGAGUUUCGAAUGUUUCAAAUACAUAGUUUUCAAAAUUCAUUUACGACGGGGGGGGGGGGGAACAUGAUUCGUGUGAUUCCCUUCCUAAUUGGCGACCUAGUUCAUUUUGGGAUGACAGUUUUGGGUAGAAUCAUAAAGAUGGAGGAGCUUAAUCAGUGCUUGCAUAUUUCUUCCUGCAAACUGAAUUGAUACCAACCAAUUAUCCUACAGAAAAGAACAAGUCAUCCAUUGAACUUCAUUUUUGAUUUUUAUCUUAGUGUUUCAAAGAGAAAUAAUAACAGUUUUGCAAGACUCCUUUCUUGCCCAAAACAUGGAUUCAUCCAAUCUGAUGGUGCGUUCCAGCAGUCGAGUGU
rnacentral:lncRNA from 1 species